rnacentral:misc_RNA from 1 species
AAUUUAAUAAUAUAUACCAUAUAUGUUCAACCUUUUUACUAGAGGUGUUCACUGUAACUUGUAAGAAGUUAAUAGAAUAUAAUUUCUAAUUUUUAGCAUAGCUAUGGGAUUGGGAGUUUUAGCGGCUUUUAAAUGUAACUGCUCAUCGCCGUGGAUGUACUUGAGAUUAACGAAGUUAAUAAGUCAUAGGCCUAAGUUUUUGUUACAUUUGAGAUCAUCCACAGUUUGUUUGGAAACAAAGUUGUUCAUUUCGCACUGUUAUCAGAAUGUGAGAUCACAGUGUUUUCGAAGUUUUUCAAACAAAAGCCCAUCUUUACAAGAUCACGGUGUUGAACAAAAAAUAGACUUAAUAAGAAAUAUAGGCAUAAUUGCCCAUAUUGAUGCUGGUAAAACUACAACAACGGAACGUAUGUUGUAUUAUUCAGGAUUUUCUCGUACAAUGGGUGAAGUUCACGAGGGAGAUACAAUUAUGGACUAUAUGCCACAGGAAAGAGAGCGGGGAAUAACUAUAACAUCAGCAGCGAUCACUUUUCCAUGGAAGGGCUACAAAAUAAAUCUGAUUGAUACACCAGGCCAUGUAGACUUUACUAUUGAGGUGGAACGAUCAUUAAGAGUAUUGGAUGGUGCUGUAGCAAUCUUGGAUGCAUCUGCAGGAGUGGAAGCUCAGACUCUUACUGUUUGGUCACAGGCUAAUCAUUAUGAUCUUCCACGUAUUGUGUACAUCAAUAAAAUGGAUAAACUAUCAGCAAGAUUUAAUGCAAGUGUUGAAUCAAUAAAAACAAAGCUUCACGUUAAUCCAUUAAUAUUACAGUUACCAGUAGGACAAGGAAAGUCAUUCAAGGGUGUUGUAGAUCUUAUAACACUGGAAAAGUGUCUUUGGGACAUAAAAAAUCCACAUAUUGAUGAUGGAAGUGUAUUCAAAAAAUUAAAACUCAGUUCUGCUGUUGAUGGCAGUUUUUGGGAGGAUGCUUCUUGCAGAAGGGAACAACUAAUUAAUCAUCUUGCAGACCUGGAUGAUGUAUUAGCAGAAAAAAUACUACAGGAUGAAACAACUACCCAUUUGAAAGACGAUGACCUUUAUGCUGCUGUGAGACGUGUUACUUACAGUCAGAGUGGUGUUCCUGUUUUAUGUGGUAGUUCAUAUCAUAACAUUGCUGUACAGUUUCUUUUAGAUGCUAUUAAUGCAUAUUUACCUAGUCCAUUAGAUAGAAAAUAUGAGUUCCUUAAAUAUUAUGGUGAAAGUCUCUGUUGCUUGGUUUUUAAAAUUGUGCAUGAUAAACAGAAAGGACCUUUGAGUUUUGUUCGUGUAUACUCGGGAAAGGUUGAGCAAGGACAGAAGAUUUAUAAUGUAAACAGGUCACAAACAGAAAAGUUAGCAAGAAUGUACUGUCCAUAUGCUGAUGACUUCAGAGAAGUAAAAUCAGCUCAUUCUGGAAGUAUUGUUGUACUUACUGGAUUAAAAAAUGCUGUAACUGGAGACACUCUUGUAGCAUCUCAUCAUCAAGUUGAUGUUAUAGCUGAACAGAAGCUAUUAGAGGAAGAAGAAUCUGCAGUUUCAAUUGGAAUACAAGUUCCAGAUCCAGUGUUUUUUUGUUCAAUUGAAGCACCAUCUCUAGCAUAUGAAAAACAACUUGAAUAUGCACUCCAGUGUCUUCAAAAAGAAGACCCAACAUUUAAAGUGCAUCUGGAUAGUGACUCUGGACAAACUGUUGUGUCAGGAAUGGGUGAACUUCAUUUGGAAGUUAUAAAGGAUCGCAUUAAAACCGAAUAUGGUGUUGAAGCCUUUUUGGGACCCUUGCAAGUUUCCUAUCGUGAAACAGCUAAUAAUUCACAUCAGGAAACGGUGGAAUUAAACAAGGUAUUAGGAGGUACAAAACAUUUUGUGAAAAUUACAUUAGCAAUUAAGCCUGCUCUUGGUGAGGGGAAAGUUUCAAAAGUACAAGUUGUACCAGAUAAAAAUAAUGAAUUAGGCAAAAUUCGUCUUGAUUACCUGAAAGCUGUAAAUAAUGGUGUGGAACAAAGCAUCAGUUGUGGACCACUUAUUGGCUUUCCUGUUAUUGAUAUACACAUAGCUCUACACUGUUUAGAAGUUGGUCCUAGAACCUCUCUUGCUAUGAUCUCAGCAGCAGCCUCCCAGUGUAUACAUUCUAUUUUAAAGAAUGCUGGUACUCAACUCCUUGAGCCAGUUAUGAAAUUAGAAGUAGUGACAGAUGAAAAUCACUUGAGCCAAAUAUUAGCAGAUCUAUCCCAGAGACGAAGUCAGAUUCAGGAAAUACAAUUCAGACAAGAAAAUCGCAUUGUAACAGCCAUUACUCCAUUAGCUGAGUUAAAGAAAUAUUCUACAGAUCUUCGAACAGUGACUUCAGGAACAGCAACCUUUUCAAUGGAGUUUCAUUGUUAUCAACAGAUGUCUUCAUACGAUCAGCAGAAAGCAAUAGAAGAAAUUACUGGAUUUGUACAAUUUUAAUAUUUUUCUAUCACAGUACUCAUGUGAUUGAGCCUCAAAGAAAGAAAACCAGACAAUUAUCAAAAGAUGGACAAGUCAGUUGGCUAGUACACAUCAUUAGGGCUGAUACUAAAGAGUAGUUACACCUACAUUAGAGUCUGUUCGGAACAUUUCAUUGCUGGGAAACUGGCAAACUUGUAUGAUUACAUGAAUCAUGACUGAGGCUCAAUAAUCAACAUGUGACACAACACCUACAACAGAUCUGAAGUCACGAUAUGGGUAUGCAGUUCAGUGUUCAACAGAAAUAAAGCAGUGCAGCUGCAGCAUUGUUAAUGCUACAGAGGUUUAGAUGUGUUAAUGAAGUCCCAAACUAGUCGUAUACUGUGGAGACUUGGACAUCAUCACAGACUCAGCUGCACAUGAAACUAGUUUCAUCCAUUGAGCAUGAGCUGCAGAGAUUGCUUGGCAAAAAUGUUGGACUAAAGAAAGAAGUACAGUUGUCUGAUGUUUCACCUGAUUAUUUUGAUACUAAUGAUGUCAUGUACUACACUAGACUUACAAAUUACACAGUACUCAUGGCACUUUUAUCUGGAGCCAUAUAUUCUACUCACGGACAGAAGCUGUUUCACAAAUUUUCAACAGCUACUAUUAACUUUAAUGAAACUUCAACUCAAUUUAUUAGUGCAGGACCCAUCUUACAGAUUUCAUAAAUCAACAGCCACAGUGAACUAUAUGUUUCUUUUAAUAAUUGACAUUAUGUUUGUGGAACUGGUCUGAAAAAGAGAACCUUAAAAAAAACCAUGCCAAUGAGUUUUCAUGCUCAUUUUGGAACCAAGGCUGCAGUUGUUGUGAAAUGUUUUGAGGUGUUUUAUCAACCAACCACCAAACCUAAUGGCUUGUGCACAAUCCUGGUCAUCUUAUAAACAUCACAACACAGCCAAGUUUCUUAUUGGAAUUACACCCCAGGGUGAUAAAUUUAUAACAGAGCUUUGUGGCAUAUUGAACAAACUUCUUUCUGGAGAUGUCGUGCAAACACAUGAAGGUCUGGACUUUCAGGACAGUGUAGGAAUUAUGUGUACUGAAGUCAAUAUUUCUGCAUUUACAAAUAGAAAAACAACAAUUUUCAGCCAGGGAAAUAGACCACACAAGAGAAAUUUCCAACUUUAGAAUACAUUUGGAAUGUGUUUUAGGUUCUGUUAGAAUUAUAAUAUUCUAUAAACAAUGCUGCCCAUUGACUAUAGUAUCAUUAAGAAGGGUGAGGAAUGUACAACAAUUGACAAAAUGGUAUGUGUGUAUUAUGCUUUAGUCAGAAUAAUGUAAUUUGACUAAGAAUGAAAGAUAUUUUGUGGAUCUAUUUGCCUAUUCUUAAAUUAUUAUUUUUUAUAAACCGUAGAACGUUUUAGGUAGUUGAGUAAAUGUGAUGAAAUUACUUUUGCAAAUCAUUAUCACAUGAAAUGCUUAAAGGAGUAGGCCAAAUUUAUAAUUUUCUGUUAAUUUAGUUGGAAACUAAAGUUUACAAAGUGUCAGGUUGAAUUUAAGAGCAGUUUUUCUUUUGUACAAUUUUUCUUUAGAACUGUUUUCAUGCGACAACUAAAACUACAGAAUUUUUUUCAUUUGGUCUUCAUGCUGAAACAUUUUCCUAUAAACUCCACAAGAACAUUCAAAAUUAGAAUUGGAAAAUAUGAAUUAAAUGGUCAAAGUCGGUGAAUACAAGAGAAUUCAUAUUUAUAUGUGAUGUAGUGAUAUGAAAUCAUCUUGAAUAUUUUCCAGUAAAGUGAACAUGAGAAAAUUAUAUUUAUUAA